CCUACGGGCGGCAGCAGGGAGGAAUAUUGGUCAAUGGGCGGAAGCCUGAACCAGCCAAGUCGCGGGAGGGAUGAAGGUUCUAUGGAUCGUAAACCUCUUUUAUAAGGGAAUAAAGUGCGGGACGUGUCCCGUUUUGUAUGUACCUUAUGAAUAAGGAUCGGCUAACUCCGUGCCAGCAGCCGCGGUAAUACGGAGGAUCCGAGCGUUAUCCGGAUUUAUUGGGUUUAAAGGGUGCGUAGGCGGCCUUUUAAGUCAGCGGUGAAAGUCGGUGGCUCAACCAUAGAAUUGCCGUUGAAACUGGGAGGCUUGCUUAUGUUUGAGGCAGGCUGAAUGCGUUGUGUCGCGGU
rnacentral:rRNA from 1 species